AUUGAACGCUGGCGGCAGGCCUAACACAUGCAAGUCGAGCGGAUGAAGGGAGCUUGCUCCUGGAUUCAGCGGCGGACGGGUGAGUAAUGCCUAGGAAUCUGCCUGGUAGUGGGGGAUAACGUCCAGAAACGGGCGCUAAUACCGCAUACGUCCUGAGGGAGAAAGUGGGGGAUCUUCGGACCUCACGCUAUCAGAUGAGCCUAGGUCGGAUUAGCUAGUUGGUGGGGUAAAGGCCUACCAAGGCGACGAUCCGUAACUGGUCUGAGAGGAUGAUCAGUCACACUGGAACUGAGACACGGUCCAGACUCCUACGGGAGGCAGCAGUGGGGAAUACUGGACAAUGGGCGAAAGCCUGAUCCAGCCAUGCCGCGUGUGUGAAGAAGGUCUUCGGAUUGUAAAGCACUUUAAGUUGGGAGGAAGGGCAGUAAGUUAAUACCUUGCUGUUUUGACGUUACCAACAGAAUAAGCACCGGCUAACUUCGUG
rnacentral:rRNA from 1 species